rnacentral:rRNA from 1 species
AACGAACGCUGGCGGCAUGCCUAACACAUGCAAGUCGAACGAGAUCUUCGGGUCUAGUGGCGCACGGGUGCGUAACGCGUGGGAAUCUGCCCUUUGGUUCGGAAUAACAGUUGGCAACGACUGCUAAUACCGGAUGAUGACGAAAGUCCAAAGAUUUAUCGCCAGAGGAUGAGCCCGCGUAGGAUUAGCUAGUUGGUGUGGUAAAGGCGCACCAAGGCGACGAUCCUUAGCUGGUCUGAGAGGAUGAUCAGCCACACUGGGACUGAGACACGGCCCAGACUCCUACGGGAGGCAGCAGUGGGGAAUAUUGGACAAUGGGCGAAAGCCUGAUCCAGCGAUGCCGCGUGAGUGAUGAAGGCCUUAGGGUUGUAAAGCUCUUUUACCCGGGAUGAUAAUGACAGUACCGGGAGAAUAAGCUCCGGCUAACUCCGUGCCGGCCGCCGCCGUAA